UAGUAUUUUUUGUUAAUUCAAUGCAAACUGAUGUGUGGGACAAGAGUCACAUGACAUAUAGCCAACCCACCUUUGAUCUUUCGGUAUUUGAGUCGUUGCGUCGCACGGACAGAUAACGUAGCUUUCAUUGCGACAGGAAACGGUUAUAUGUGGUUACGCUGUCAUUACAUAUUAUUAGUACACUGAACUUUUCUUCGAGGCCUACGUGGACAAAAAUUUUCGGUUUACCCACCAACAAUAAAAUGGAAAGGACCUGCACUUUUUCAGUUUUUGGAAAGGCACGGACAAUUUCAAAAUCCCUGCCAAAUAUAUUAGAGGUCAUUCACAAGUAUGCUGAACCCGGGACCAGUCUAAAGACCUACAGUAUUCACAAAGUGCAUGGCUUUUGGGAAAAUGUCUCAAGAGAUUUGGGAGUGCCUAAUACAUGUCUUAAUAGGAAAAAAAUUCUCAAAGCAGUCCUGCAGUAUGAAAAGACCACAUCAGGGGUAGAGGGUCCCUUGCUACAGACUGAUUUUCCUACUGCAGAGACAACACUUGGAGAUGAUGUUCCUUCCAUUAAUGAGGAAGACAUUGUUCUUGUGCCAAAGUCUCCACAAUCUGUAGGAAAUGUACCUUUACCUUCAAGAAAAGAGGAUGCACUUCAAAAAACUGCAGAGAGCGGCAUCCAGACCCCAGACACACAAUCCCUCGAGAGUGACUCUAAAUCUUCAUCUUCAAAUGCAAAUGCUACGAGGAAUGAAUCAGAUGAAUCAGCUAAGGUCAACACAGACAGUAGCAGUUCAGGAGAAAGAUUUUUCACAUCUGGUUUGCCACAGCAGAAAACUUUCUUUUUCAUAAAUGAGAAUGAAUGGAAGGAGUUACGGCAACAUCAGUCAGGAAGACUAUUUAAAGGACUGCAGUGGACAAAUAUAAUUGCUUGUGGAAUCAGAACCCUUAAUCCGUACUGCAGUUUUGGAUUUCGGAGACACAGUGUGAAAAAACUCUCUUCAAGAUCAAAGGCACCGGUUUUCAGGUGUAUGGGGUACUGCAGAUUUCAGGACUGCCCUGUCACUGUGGAUGUGGUGGUUUAUGACGAAGAGACACUGAAAGCAGAAGUCGUUUUUAAAGGAGGUGAGGUCUGCCAUAAUAACAAAGAGCUGAAAAGGCGGCCUGUGCGUGCACAAUCACGUCAAAGUGCUGGAGAACUCCUCAAAAACAAAUUACCAAGGAGCUUGUACUUGGAGUCUUUACAGAAAGUGCCACAAAAGGUGAUCCAAUCUGGCAACAGGGAUGAUGCUCCAACAAAAGAAGUCUUGAAAAACAUUGCAUGGUCUGAAAGAAAAGCCAGUAGAGCAGAUCCCAACGAGUUGAUGAGCUUACAAAAGAUAAUUCAACAGUAUCAGGACACUGAAAAGGAUGUACUGCAGAAGAUUCUGAUGCAUCCAAAGGGCAUAAUGCUAUGGUCUAAGAAAACCUUGUCAGUUUUUCAUCAAAGAUGCAAAGAAGACAUUGUGUACUUUGAUGCCACUGGAAGUAUAAUAAGAAAAGAAAGUGCUGGAAGGCCACCAUAUUAUGUGUAUGAGUUGGUUGUCAGAAACCCAUCCAAAGGUGCUUCUCCUCUUCCAGUUGCUACAUAUGUCACAUGUGACCACACUACUGCCUCUGUGACAUACUUCUUGCAGGCCUUUCAGACUGAUCUGGUAAGAGCAUUUGGUAAUCGGGCCUACAACAGGCCUGUCAUGUUCAUGUGUGAUGGAUCCCUAGUACUCCUUCGAUCCAUUUCCAUGACAUUCUGCAGAACAAGUCUAGAGGAUCUGCUGCAGAAGUACUAUGUCUUACUCACUGGCCAGCAUUCAGCACAGGAAUUCAACAUUCCCAUUCUUCAUCGAUGUUUGAGCCAUGUCAUGAAAAAUGCCAAGGACCUUUGUAAAAAACACAUUCCAGAGAACUACAGGCUUGGAAUGCAUGUGUUUGGGCUCCUUGCAUGCUGUGAUAACUUAAAAGACAUGGAUGAUGUUGUCCAUAGUGCAGCAAUAGUGUUUGGCAGUCCUUGUAGUGGAAGGAACGUAACAAAACACUACAACAACUUGAAAAUCCUUAUGCAAAAAAGGGGGACCCUGGAUUUGGAUGAAAAGACUGUGAUUGCUGAGGACUACAAGACUGAUGUUCAGAAUGCCCCCUUGAAGACCCAUUUCCAGGCAAUUGUUGACAAUGCAACACUGGACUGUGAGGGUGAAAGAAACAUCUUUCAUGCACCCAAAUUUAUUGCCGGUCUGGUAAAUCACCUUCUACCACAUGCAACUUUGUGGUCAUCAAUGAUGCUCGGGGAUCUUGGACGUCAUGGUACUGGUCCUGCUUACCAGCAGCUCAGUAAACUCUAUAGUGACAUUCAGCAAUCCAAGAACCAGAAUUUUACACAAGACAACAGAACCCAAGGAAUCAUGGAGAAAAGCCAGUGGGAUUUGAAAAAAAUCCGUAUCCAGAGAAGGAGACUGACAAGGCUUGAUGACUUUGUGGAAAUUUAUCAAAAAAUGCAUGAUGCCCUCCUGCUUGAAUAUGCAGACAUGAAAAAAUCAAGACAAAAGUCUUUUCGCGUGGAAAUGGAGAAAUGGAAAGACAAACGCAUUAAACGGAAAGGUGUGUACGUGUCACCGUUAGUGACAGAACUGCCACUGAAGAAAAAGAAAACUGAGGUAAAAGGGAAGACCACUGUUCAAACGUUUAAACAGGAACAGCACAAACAACAUGAUGCUCGUCAAAACCAGGAUGAGAGCCAGGAACAAAUAGCCGUUUGCCAAAAAAUAGCAACAUACAUGGCUAAUAAAGUGUCUGUCACAGUAUGGAAAGGAGAUUUAUGUGCCUUCAAAGUGGAUGCAAUUGUGAAUGCAGCUAAUGAAAGUCUCUCUCACAUGGGUGGACUUGCAAAGGCACUGUCUGCUACUGGAGGACGUACUAUCCAAGCAGAGAGUGAUGUCUUCAUUGCCAAAAAUGGCAAAUUAAAGGCUGGACAAGUUGCAGUUACCACAGCAGGCAAACUACCUUGCAUGAAGCUGAUUCAUUUGGUAGGCCCGUGUCUGCAGAAUGACCCCACAGUGCACAUGAUAUCCCAUGCAAAGAAACUUUUAACUAAAGGUAUUUUGAAUGUCAUGACAUGUGCAGAAGAGCACAAAUUUUCAUCUGUUGCCAUUCCAGCAGUGAGCUCUGGAAUAUUCAACUUUCCAGUCUCAAUUUGUGCUGAUGUUGUAGUCACCACAAUCAAAAAGUACAUUAAACAUAAGAACCCCACAAGUCCUCCAUUUGAAAUACACCUGGUAAACAACGAUGAUCCAACCGUGAAGGAAAUGGAAAGGGCCUUCAAAGAGAUCCUUUUGGAGCCACUCUCUGAUGUCAGGAGGACAAUCGAGGGGCCAGAGGAUUCUCCAUCUACUCUGGAAAGGACAGAGCACCUUGAGAGAAACACAACCGGUCUAACAAAGGACACUGCAUCACAGGUCGCAUAUUUGUGGAAACAACAGGAAACGGAAGUUGUUGUUUCUGUGGUCCCAUCUCAGAUUAGAGGUAACAACUUUGUCAUACGUCACAGUGAGUUCCUGACCCUUAGACCACACAGCUGGCUUGUUGGAGAGGUAUGUAAUCCAGGUAUUAACCCCCCUUCCCCCCAAAAGUACUGCAUAAGGAUAACGUUAAAGCUGGGGCAGAACAUUAGUUGUUCCCUACACAGUCAGUAAGUACUCCUUUAGAUCUACAUUCCAGGCAUAUCUUCAUGACUGAAUACUGAGUAUACGUAAGUAAAAAACUCUUUAUUAACCUUUGUAUUAAAAAAAUUUAUCAUGUUUACAAAGUAAUAAAAGUUUAUUUAUUAUACUCCUCAGGUCAUUGAAAGUCUCCUGCACCACUGGGCCAUUCGGCUGAAUCUGGGGAAUAAUAUCUACAUUAUGAACCACUACACGAGCGGUGUGAUCCUCUAUGGAGAGAGAGAACUAAUCAGGAGACAAAGCUUGUCCAAGGUGAACUUUGACAACUACCAAGCCAUUUUAUCUUUUGUGAACAUUGGAAAUGUACACUGGAAGUUUCUGUACAUAAAUGCAGAUGACAGCUGUCUGUAUUUGGUCGAUCCUUCAAGAAACUCUUUGGAGCAGGAAGAGUCUGACCGUGCAGCCAAAAGAUUCCGUGAAUACUUCAAAAUGAGAAGGACAUGCUACAACAAAACAGACUGGGUAAAUGUGAGACUUCGAGGAGUACUGACACAUCCAUUUCAACGGGA